UACGUAGGAGGCGAGCGUUGUCCGGAAUUACUGGGCGUAAAGGGCGCGUAGGCGGAUAGUUUAGUCAGAGGUGAAAGCCCAGGGCUCAACCUUGGAAUUGCCUUUGAUACUGGCUAUCUUGAGUUCGGGAGAGGUGAGUGGAAUGCCGAGUGUAGAGGUGAAAUUCGUAGAUAUUCGGAAGAACACCAGUGGCGAAGGCGACACACUGGCCCGUUACUGACGCUGAGGCGCGAAAGCGUGGGGAGCAAACAGG
rnacentral:rRNA from 1 species